rnacentral:rRNA from 1 species
UACGUAGGGCGCAAGCGUUGUCCGGAAUUACUGGACGUAAAGCGUGCGCAGGCGGUUUUGUAAGUCUGUCGUGAAAGCCCCGGGCUCAACCUGGGAAUUGCGAUGGAGACUGCAAGGCUUGAAUCUGGCAGAGGGGGGUAGAAUUCCACGUGUAGCAGUGAAAUGCGUAGAGAUGUGGAGGAACACCGAUGGCGAAGGCAGCCCCCUGGGUCAAGAUUGACGCUCAUGCACGAAAGCGUGGGGAGCAAACAGG